AUUGAACGCUGGCGGCAGGCCUAACACAUGCAAGUCGAACGAGUGGCGGACGGGUGAGUAAUGUCUGGGAAACUGCCCGAUGGAGGGGGAUAACUCCUGUAAACGGUAGCUAAUACCCCAUACUCUCGCAUCUGCCCCGAUGGGAUUUGCUAGUAUGUGGGGUAACGGCCAACCUAGGCGACGAUCCCUAGCUGGUCUGAGAGGAUGACCAGCCACACUGGAACUGAGACACGGUCCAGACUCCUACGGGAGGCAGCAGUGGGGAAUAUUGCACAAUGGGCGCAAGCCUGAUGCAGCCAUGCCGCGUGUAUGAAGAAGGCCUUCGGGUUGUAAAGUACUUUCAGCGAGGAGGCGUUACUCGCAGAAGAAGCACCGGCUAACUCCGUGCCAGCAGCCGCGGUAAUAC
rnacentral:rRNA from 1 species